UACGUAUGGUGCAAGCGUUAAUCGGAAUUACUGGGCGUAAAGCGUGCGCAGGCGGUGAUGUAAGACAGUUGUGAAAUCCCCGGGCUCAACCUGGGAACUGCAUCUGUGACUGCAUUGCUGGAGUGCGGCAGAGGGGGAUGGAAUUCCGCGUGUAGCAGUGAAAUGCGUAGAUAUGCGGAGGAACACCGAUGGCGAAGGCAAUCCCCUGGGCCUGCACUGACGCUCAUGCACGAAAGCGUGGGGAGCAAACAGG
rnacentral:rRNA from 1 species